UUUUGCCUAUUUUACUGUUGGUUUCCCACUCCUUUUUACUCAUCAUAUACACCCCCUCACGGCUUCACCCGUAUCAUUCUCUUCAUUAUAUCAUUACCGCCCCACUCCAUCACUCUCCCAUCCAUCCAUCCAUCCCUCGUUCGCUCUCUCUCCUUCUAUCUAUCUCAGUCCCCCUUGACAGCAGGCAAGACUCUUGGGGGGUGGGGGAAGUGAUAAGACAAUUGCAUUAUUAACCCCUGGAAGACAAGCAGAUAGUUACAAUCAACAAUUCAAAGAGAAGUCUCUUUUGAAGAUGGUUUUAAUUGGGAUGUCCUAAAGGAGCUACUCUUUUGAGGGGAACGUUGUCUGGCCCGAGGACACCGGCUCCAUUUCCAUUUGCCUCUACGGAAGCUGUUCAUCACUUGGUUGUUAAAUGGUUUGAGCUUGUGCCGGUGUUGUCGGACCAGGCUUCAUUCCUCCCAAUUAUUGCUCCCAUAUCGAGCCGUGCAGUAAAGGGGUUUCAUGGUGGAGAGCUUGGCGUCGGUAAAGGGCCAAAGUUAAACGGAAAAGGAGUUGCCUUUUCUUUAACAGUUUGAAAUUACCAUGAUGCAAUCAGCUUACUUUUUCCACUCCUAUGUACAUGGGCUCUUUAUCUUCAUUCAUCUUACACUAACAAGAUCUGUAUUAUCUGUUACCUGCUUUGCAUGGGGAUGGAUGGAAACGCAUUAAAUCUUGAAUUUGAGUCAGCAUAGGAUAAUGACAGAUUUUGCAAGAAGUAAGAGCUAUGCCAAUGCAAGUGUUGACACAGACAGAUAUGAAAAUCUGAUUAAAGGCGAGCCCCCUAAUGCCAUGGUUUUGUCACUCAUGACAUCUAAAACCCUAAAUUUGAUCAACAAGAUGUCACUAUUGAAUGUUCAAAUUUAGUAAAAUGACUCC